GACGGAGGGCGCUAGCGUUGUCCGGAAUCACUGGGCGUAAAGGGCGCGCAGGCGGCCGCGUCAGUCGGGCGUGAAAGCCCGGGGCUCAACCCCGGGACGGCGCCCGGGACGGCGCGGCUGGAGGCCGGGAGAGGGGGGUGGAAUAGCCAGUGUAGAGGUGAAAUUCGUAGAUAUUGGCUGGAACACCGGUGGCGGAGGCGGCCCCCUGGCCAGGCCCUGACGCUGAGGCGCGAAAGCGUGGGGAGCAAACAGG
rnacentral:rRNA from 1 species